AAUAGGAUAGAAUAACUGUCCUAUUCUGGCUCCCAUUCUUGCUCCUGCCUAUUCUCAUCUCUGUUUCUAAGCAAGUGCUCGCUUUCAUCUUCUCUCCUCACCCUACACUCUCAGCACUUCCUUCCUCUGUGGAGCCAUCAUCCCUUGAACACGCCCCCAGCGCUGCACUAAUCUUUUAUAGUCUUUGUCUCCACCGCUAGACUAGAAGGAAAACUAGUGUACAUGCCAAGGUUUACCCCCAAAGUACUCAGGCCAUUAUCUUUGGAGAAUGCUCUGGUAUUCUUUGGAGAAUGUUCUGGUAUUCACUCAGCUUGACUUUUCUUCAGAAUGAUGGCAAGUGGUGAAGACAGGCAGAACCACCAGAUUAGAAAGAACAUAAAUCACUGAAACCUUGAGGAGGAAAAUUGCCUGCAGGACUUCACAUGAGUGUGACUAAGCACUAAACUUCCACUAUGCCACAGAAUAAAACAAGAUGGAUCCAAACAAGACCUCUGAACAUUUCUGUGAUGGCUUCAGAAGAACUAAAAAUAACUGGGUGAAAAAUCUGAAAGGCAAAGCUGCUCUAUCUGCCAGCAUUCUAAGGAGACAGGAUCCAGCUCAAUCAGAAGAGAGUGUAUCUCUGCCCUUCUGGAUGAUUAAAGCAAACUGGCAUCUUGUAUCAGUUUGGGAGCUAGAGCCCCUGGAUUGUCGGAUGCUCAUAGUUAAUAGACUUACAUUUUUCUUCUUCAUCCAUUAACAUUAUUCCUGUGAACACCUAUGCUUCUGUGUAAAAAUGAAACUGCCCUUAAAUUAUGCUUGGUCUUCACUUUCUGUAUCUAAAGUAAAUAAU
ensembl:lncRNA